AUUUGGCUUCCUGAGAGUCUGGCAGGAGCUGUAAGAGCAGUGGCCAGGGCACUCUGUGCUAAGAAUUGCUGAAAGGGAUGAUAAUCACUUGGAACAUCAGUGAUGUCAAGGAUGGCAGUAUGGUUGUUGGGAACAAAUUCCACUCCUGCAAAGGUAAAAGCUGUAGUUGCCAUUAGAACAGAGUUUGUGAAUGAAGGUGUUUGAGAAG
rnacentral:lncRNA from 1 species